GUCUUGUAAAUCACGAAAAGUUUAAUCCUAAACGUUAAACCCUUUGCGACUCGCUCUUGUUACUCUUUCAGUUUCCUCCCUCGCCGUCUCAGUCCUCGGCAAACCAAGCAAUCGCAAACAAAGCACCACUCACAUUUUCUGGGUCACUUUGCUCAGCGGGAGAAUUCUUUUCUUUGGUUGAAGACAUGGUGGGUUGGCAGAGGCAUGUACAGUCCCUAAUCCGUCAUGUUGGCAAAAGAGUGGAGAACCAUGGUUACACGUCUGCUGCAAACUUUUCUUCUUCUUCUCAUUUUCUAAAACUCCAGACACCAUCUUACCAAACCAUCUCAAGGCCCCUUCAUCAGUACUUUCAACACUUGGGAAUUUCCAGUUCAAGGAACUUGCUUGCAGAUUCAUUUGAUGGAGCACCUCAUCAAUCUUCAGUCACUCCUCUCUCAGCUUCAAGUGGUGAAAAAAUUGAAGAACAAAACCAGAAAUCAUCUUCUAGACCUUCACAAGUUCAAUUUGUUUUAAAGGGCAUGAAUCAGAGCCCUAAUAAGGUCAACUUGGUUGCUAAACUGGUUUGUGGUAUGCGUGUUGAAGAUGCAUUACUGCAACUGCAAGUGACAGACAAGCAAGCUGCAAAAACUGUAUAUCAGGCUCUUCACUCAGCCCGGGCAGAUGCAACUUAUAAUCAUGGGUUGGAUCCAGAACGUCUUCUAGUUGCUGGGGCCUUCGUUGGAAAGGGAUUCUUGGGAUUCCGCAAGAACAGACUUUACUACCAUGGUAAAAGCAAUGACGGAACUAAAGUGAGACCAAAUUACCAACUAACGGUGACGCUAAGGGAGAUUUAUCCGGAAGAGGAGGAGGAGAUAGCCAAACAGAGAGCUGACAAUUUUCUCUAUAUCAAGAAACGCCUCAGGCUCACGAAGCAGGAAAAUAAAUUUGUUUCUCACCACCUUAUUGGCAAUCACAUAGGCAAAGGAAGUACCAGUCAACAAAGUGGUAUGGCUUCGUGAGCAAUCUUCCUUCCCAUGCAUUAACAUUUUGAAAGAGUUUGGAGACAUUCGAGAGCUCCUCCUUUGUCCUUGCAAUUCAAUAAAAUGUCGUGUAGAAGUGUGAAAAACCGAAGUGUCAAGAGUAGGAUCAAGCCUUUGUCUCAGUUCCUGGUCGUGGCUGCAUCCCGCGUGUUGUUUUAAAUACGUCGAGCGCUUAUGCUAAAAGCGAGAUCAAGUGCUUCGUACAAUAGUGAUUUCAACCUGCCCUUCAGAACUCUCAGAUCGUUACCUCAUGAUUGGGUUGAUCAAGUAGUAUUUGCUCAAAUUAACGAUCCUUGUAAUUCCUUUUCGACUUUUUGAUGGUUUCCUUUUAGCCUUGCAUAAUUGUAGGCUUGUUUUAUAAACAUCUCACAUAUUGUUGAUACAUCUCACAUACUUUACCCUAAUACCGUUGAUGGUUUCCUUUUA